rnacentral:lncRNA from 1 species
UACAUAUAUAAAUUGAAUGGAGAGAGUAAUAAACUAAAUAAAUGUAUUAGUCACACAAGAAUCCAUUAUUAUUUCUGAAUGGAAAAUCAUUUGCAAGCAAAUUUUUUCAUUAUUCGUACAAAUUAUGAAAGACAUGGAAAGUAGAUAAUACAACAGAAGCACUAAAAUCACAGGGAAUUACUUAUCUAGUGAUAAUUAAUCUAGACAUUCAUGCACAUAUAUGUACCAUCUGCAAUGGUCAAAUGACAAGUACAACAAACCCAACAAUCACUGCAGUCAUUGUUGGUAGUACAACUUCUCCAACAAGUCGCAAGUUGUGGAAGUAAUCUGCUCUUGAGUCCUGACAGAUCAUGAUCAAUAUCCAGUGCAGCUAUAGCUUGUGUCUUUGAGAACCACGAUAUAUUAACUGAAAUAUUUCACAAUCACAAUUAUUAAAAUCAAAUUAUAAUUGAUGUAACAUAAAAGAUACAUAGCUAAAUGUCAUGCAUAUUCAUGUCUACAUUUAAAAUAUGCCUAUUUAUACAUACACACAGAAAGUUGUAUAAUAUAAUGAUAAAGAAAAAUAAAUACUCACUAGUGGUUGCCAUGAGAAGAAUGGUGAUAAUAGAACAAAGUUUAAGCAACGACAUAUUAUGAAUUAUAAUUCACACUUUUAUGAAAGUUUUUGUAUGAGCAUCUCAUUACUUUUCAUUGAUCGUUAUUUAUAGACCUUUUCUACCAAUGAGCUGGCUCUCU